rnacentral:piRNA from 1 species
CAGGAGAAGGUGCCAUGUCAUGUCUGU